rnacentral:rRNA from 1 species
AUUGAACGCUGGCGGCAGGCCUAACACAUGCAAGUCGAACGAGUGGCGGACGGGUGAGUAAUGUCUGGGAAACUGCCUGAUGGAGGGGGAUAACUACUGGAAACGGUAGCUAAUACCGCAUACCAUCGGAUGUGCCCAGAUGGGAUUCGCUAGUAGGUGGGGUAAAGGCUCACCUAGGCGACGAUCCCUAGCUGGUCUGAGAGGAUGACCAGCCACACGGGAAAUGAGACACGGUCCAGACGCCGACGGGAGGCAGCAGUGGGGAAUAUUGCACAAUGGGCGCAAGGCGGAUGCAGGCAUGCCGCGUGUAUGGAGAAGGCCGUCGGGUUGUAAAGUACUUUCAGCGGGGAGGCGUUAGCCGCAGAAGAAGCACCGGCUAACUCCGUGCCAGCAGCCGCGGUAAUAC